rnacentral:rRNA from 1 species
GACGAACGCUGGCGGCGUGCCUAAUACAUGCAAGUCGAGCGCAGGAAACUGACGGAACUCUUCGGAGGGAAGGCAGUGGAAUGAGCGGCGGACGGGUGAGUAACACGUAAGGAACCUGCCUCAAGGAUUGGGAUAACUCCGAGAAAUCGGAGCUAAUACCGGAUAGUUCAACGGACCGCAUGGUCCGCUGAUGAAAGGCGCUUCGGCGUCACCUUGAGAUGGCCUUGCGGUGCAUUAGCUAGUUGGUGGGGUAACGGCCCACCAAGGCGACGCGGCAUAGCCGACCUGAGAGGGUGAUCGGCCACACUGGGACUGAGACACGGCCCAGACUCCUACGGGGGGCAGCAGUAGGGAAUCUUCCACAAUGGACGAAAGUCUGAUGGAGCAACGCCGCGUGAGUGAUGAAGGUUUUCGGAUCGUAAAACUCUGUUGUAAGGGAAGAACACGUACGAGAGGAAAUGCUCGUACCUUGACGGUACCUUACGAGAAAGCCACGGCUAACUACGUGCCAGCAGCCGCAGUAACAC